CCUCCUUACAGACCUCCUGUAUGUUGAGACUAUGGCAGGUGGUGGAGCAGGACUUGGUGCAUUCACUGUACUGCAUGCCUAUCGGGCACUUGGGAACUGCAAGACACAUUGAACAUUUUACCUCACAACCUUUUUUAAUGCCUUUUCAGAUUGAACAAACUUACAACACUGGGCCUCCUCCAUCCAGCCAUGCAGAAGAAUCCCGUGAGCAUGGCAUGUGCGAGCAUACUCCAGCAGAAAAGGACAGGAGCAGUCUUCUGCAUUUUUCUGUUCACAGUGGCAGGCCUCCGCCUGACACAGCGACAGGAAAGCAUCGGGAGACACCAGCUUCCCUGCUCUGCUGAAGAAAUAUAUCCCGACAGGAUAAGGCUGCCACUACCAUGCUUUGAUGAUUGGGUGGGAUCAGAAACCCGUCGACAGGCUUGGUCAGCUCCCUUCAUUGCCCAGGAGUUUGCAAAAUCAUAACUAUCCUCUGUUAGAAAGCCUGAAAGCACAGAAACAUGUAGACGAACGGACAUAAGAGAUGACAGAUUUGCUCCUUAAUCUCACCAUACCACAAUUGUCUUUGCUUGCUUUUACUGUGUUAUCUUUUCCUGUACUCAGUGGCUGCUGUUCCUGUUGCUGAGUGCUGGUGACUCAAAUCGUUUCCUAAAUUCCAGUUAUAAUGAACUCUCCUUUGUUCAGCUUUAAAACUAUCAGCUAGACAGAAAAUUGCUUUAAAAUUUGUCUCAUUUCAGUAAUUCAAUUUCAAAGCGAGAGAGAAGUAUCAUAUAUUUCAAAUAGAGUGACAUUUCCUGUCAUUAUUUCUGGUAAUACUGCUGCUUUUGGUUUACUCAGGAAAAACCCUAAUUAUAAUUCUCAGAAAACCAAACUUUUAAAUGAAGUAAGAUUAACUGAAUCUCAGAGUAGGAUCUACUGAGUAUAUCUCCUAAUUCACCUACCCUCCUGAGCUGUGUAUUCAUCAUGUGGAACUGCAUUGAAGUUGCCACAGAGGCCACAGGUGCGGUUAGAAUGGCGUUUGCUCAGCGUCAGGGCAAUGUUGGCAGCAUUAUCAAUGGUGACAGUGAAGCCAAACUCUUCACUCCAGAGCUUAAAAAACCCAAGCUCUGAGCCCGCAAAUACAGAAUGAGACGCAUACGGAAGAGAGAGUCUGUUAAAAGGGAAUAAAAAGAACAUAGAUGAUACUUCAUUCAUUAUAAAUGCCUUUCUUUAUUAUUUUUGUGCAUAUUUUUUCUUUUGGAUUUUUUCGCACCUUUUGCCUCCUUCAGAAAGUUGCCCAUCUAUUGACAGGUGCAGCUCGAAGACAUCACCCAGAAACAAUGUGGUUCCUGUUCUUUUGCCAUUUUGAAAGUCACCUGUGGAUUCAAAGCCAUUUUUUUUACAUCAGUAAUAUGGCUAAAUAGUCAUAAAAACAGCAAUAGGAUUUCCUGCUAACAAAAAAA